UGCGUAGGCGGAUUUAUAAGUCAGUGGUGAAAUCCUACAGCUUAACUGUAGAACUGCCAUUGAUACUGUAGAUCUUGAGUACGGUUGAGGUGGGCGGAAUGUGUCAUGUAGCGGUGAAAUGCUUAGAUAUGACACAGAACACCAAUUGCGAAGGCAGCUCACUAAACCGUAACUGACGCUGAGGCACGAAAGCGUGGGGAGCGAACAGGAUUAGAUACCCUGGUAGUCC
rnacentral:rRNA from 1 species